AUGAACGCUGGCGGCGUGCCUCAUACAUGCAAGUCGAGCGAACGGACGAGAAGCUUGCUUCUCUGAUGUUAGCGGCGGACGGGUGAGUAACACGUGGAUAACCUACCUAUAAGACUGGGAUAACUUCGGGAAACCGUAGCUAAUACCGGAUAAUAUUUUGAACCGCAUGGUUCAAAAGUGAAAGACGGUCUUGCUGUCACUUAUAGAUGGAUCCGCGCUGCAUUAGCUAGUUGGUAAGGUAACGGCUUACCAAGGCAACGAUGCAUAGCCGACCUGAGAGGGGGAUCGCCCACAGGGAACAGGACACACGGCCCAGACCCCGACGGGAGGAAGAGGUGGGGAAUCUUCAGAAAUGGGAGAAAGCGGAAGGGAGCAGCGCGGCGGGAGUGAGAAGGGUGUUGGGAUAUAAAAACUGUUUUAUGGGGGAAGAAAAUAUGGGAAAGUACGUUGGAACAUCGGGACGUUACCUAAUAAGAAAGCAACGGCAACCUACGUC
rnacentral:rRNA from 1 species